rnacentral:lncRNA from 1 species
CACCACUCAUCCUCCAAGAUGACAAUGAGCACACUCCACCAACAAGUUCUUGCACUUCCAGCAGCCAAGACUGCUCCAUCAGGUUACUUUCCUGAUCCAGCUUCCAUCAACAAGCUCCAAAUCCCAACAUUUUCCAAAAAAUCUGAACAAAUCAAGAAAAAAUGUCUUCUGAGAAAGAAGAAAACCGAGAGCUUCACAAACGGAGCUAGAGAUCAAAACAAGUUAGGCCCCAAACUGACCGAAACAGUCAAGAGAAAGAUAUCUUUGGGAGCUAAGAUCCUUCAAAUGGGAGGCUUAGAGAAGAUUUAUAAACGGCUCUUCAGAGUCCACGAUGAAGAGAAACUCUUCAAAGCUUACCAGUGUUACCUAUCCACAACCGCAGGUCCCAUUGGAGGCUUACUCUUCAUCUCAUCAAAGAAGAUUGCUUUCUGCAGCGAGAGAUCUAUCAAAGUGGCUUCUCCUCAGGGAGAUCUAACUAGGGUUCACUACAAAGUGUCAAUCCCAUUGUCCAAGAUCAAUGGAGUGAACCAGAGUGUAGACACGAAGAAGCCAUCUCAGAAGUACCUUGAAGUAGUCACUGUGGAUGGCUUUGAGUUCUGGUUCAUGGGUUUCUUGAGUAACAAGAAAGCUUUCAACUGUCUUGAGCAAGCACUUUCUGUGAACUUGGAGCAAUAACAAGGAGAUAGGCUAGAAAAGUUAGACAAUAUUGUACAAACUAUUUUUUUUUUAGCUUUAACCUUUGGUUAUAUCCAUUGUUGACAAGAGCAAGAGAUUGAAUAUAUUUAGCUGAUCUCAUCUGUUUUCCUUAUUUCACAGCUCUAUAAUGAAAUGACUAUAUAAGACCAUAUCACAAUCUUGACCCUCCAAGCAUUUUAGAAGCUUUUGAGAUACACAGGAUCAUCAAUCUUCCCCCUAAGCAGUGCCGUGCGAAGGGUUUUAGGGGCCUAAGGCAAGUUUUAAAAAUAAAUUUAUAUACAACUAUAAAAAAAAAAAAAUUUCUAAUACGAUAUAUCACCUUCGCAAAAUACAUAAGUUUAACACUUACAAGAAUAAGUUUAUUACGUAAAUAUGCUACGUUAUGUCCUAUAAUAAAAAAAUAUAUGGAUUUAGAAAUUGAGUUAUUCGAUUCUCGUGGAAAGUUUUUUUUAGAAAUAAAUUUAAGCUACUAAACUAGAAAUUAUUUUAAAUUUUGGGGCCCUAAAAACCGUAAUAUUAUUUGGGGGCCUAAGGCGAAUGUCUUUUUCAAUACACUGUAGGCACGCCUCUGCCCCUAAGACUAAAACCAACAAUGAGGCUUAAGAAACGAGGAAGCUAUUUCCAUUUUAACAAAAAGCAAAUCAAAGAGGAUGCAUUGAUCAUAACAAAAGCUUUAGGAUAACACACACUUUGCUUCAUUGUAUUACAUAGAGAAUCAGAGUCUUCAAAUAUCUAGUGCUGAACAAAACCUAUGUGGAAAUGACAAUGCACAAGAGAUAGUCCAUUGCAAGGACAACCUAUUUACAUGCAGAGAAAAGCCGCGAAUCCUCCGAUGACCAAAUAUUUCUUGUAGGCUAUGGCAAAUCGUUUCUCACGUCACAUUUACCUUUUAUUUUUUUAUAGACAUUUUGUUAAUGUUCAAUUCGAUCACGCACACGUCUGAAAAUAUUAACGAUUCAGGAUAGACUAUUUUAUUACACAUUUGAGUGUGACCAGUCUUCUUUUUUCGCUCCCUUUUAUUUAUUUUUAACUUUUCUUUGACCAAUCGACCAUUUCCUAAUCCCCACUGAGUAAUAUUUUUUUACUCAUAAUUACGUGCCGACAUCCAUGCUGAAUCGGUCGUAUAUUUAGUCAAAAUAUCUUAUCCGAAAAAGGAUAUAGACCCCGAAGAUGAUGAACGCCACUAUAAAGCUUCAAAUUGAAUGGGCUGUGACGGUACAUAUAAUAUGGUUUUAUAUAUAGUCAAAGAAAUUCCAUGAUCUCUACAGGAUAAAUGGGUGGUGCAAAAAAAAUCUGAUUGAGAAAUCAUAUAAAAUAUGAAUUUUUCAACUAUUUGUUAGAACAUCAGAGUAGGAUGUUACCACGAGGUAAUACUCAAUCCAUUUCAAAAUAAUAUAUGUUUUAUUAAUAAAAUAUAUAAACCAUUAGUUAUUAAUGCAGUUUUUUUUAUAAUUUUAUAUUUUUUUAUAUUUCUAAACCAAUAAAACUUAAAAAUAUAUAAUUAAUAUUUUUAAAAUUCUCAAUUUUUUUAUUAUUAAUUGACAAAAAAAUAUAUUGUAAAUACAAAAAAUAUCUUUUUGAAACAAUUUUUUUUUAAACAGAAAGAAUAUUAUUUAAACCAAUCAUAGCUACAUUGAUUGGAUAUCGUUUACUCAAAAAUCAUAAUUAACAUAUACAACAUUUUAAAUUGAAUAUAAUUCGGUGCACAAAAAAAUGAAUACUCGUAUAAUUCAGGGUUUCGUAGAAACAACCUACUUCAAAUUAAAUUACAUCUAUGCUUCUUAAAUGUCAUUGUGACAUAUUUUCUUUCUUCGAAUUUAGUCUUAAUAACAACUGCCGAAUCAUUCAUGUCUUAACAACUAACUAAUCAUUCACUUUUGACGCUUUUCGAAAUACAUGUACCUAUUUAUGAUCAACUAGCUUAAUACACUAAAUUUUAUGUCAUUAUAAUAAAUUAUAAAUUUAUAUUCAUUAACUAUAUAUGUAUAUACACAACCAUAUGAAUAUCACGCGGGUGACGAAUUGAUGAAGUAGCAUGUAUACUAUAUGGUGGUAUCCAAUUCAAAUGGAUCUUCUUUUUGUGUGUUUAUUUAAGUAUUCUUUUGCUUAUCUAUUCACAGAUCUAUCUAAACCGAUCUUUCUUAUCGUAGCAUGACAAUAAAGAUAUAAAGGCAUCAGAACAGAAAGUCGCAAUGCCAACGCAGAAAGGUCCAAAGCCACGACGGCCGCUUCUGCAUGGCUCAAUUUGCUCUCACCUAUUCAAAAAGUGUUACGUAAUAUUUGAUUUUUAAUGUUCCAGUUAAUUAGGAAACAUAUCUUAUCUCCUCUACAUAUGUAGAUAUAUGUGGAAAAAAUAAAAUCAGGCUGAAAAAAGGAGAAAAGAAAAGUAAAAAAAGUUUGCUAUUUUGCCAACUUGUGGUAAAAAAGCUUAUCGGAGACUAACGUCAUUGCAUGGAUCAUCUUUCCUUCUUUAACUUUUUUUUUCUUUUUUCACCUUUUCGACAUUCUAAUAUCAUAUGGAUAAUCAAUUUACAUGGCAAGUUUCAAUAUGUUAACUAGAAACUUAUACCUGAUUUAUGAAUGCAAUGUUCAAAAAAAAAAAACUUAUAAAUGUCUCGAGACAUUUGAAGGUAAUCCAUGAAAUUGCAUUUAUAAUUAAGUUCUGUUAUUUGGAAAAAAAAAAAAAAAACCUAAAACAUUUCAUAAGUUCUUGAGAUUACUUUACCACUUGUAGGCCUUAGAUAGAUUUAGAAGCUGCAAAACCUAUGUCUCCUUUAACUAUAUAAUUAAUUUAUUUCAGAAAACAAUAAAGAAAAAAUAGAGGAUAUGCUUGAUCUUUUCAUUGCCUUUACCCCCAAGAAAGUGGCUUUAUGUGUGUCUUGAUGACCCAUCCAUGACUCAUCCAUUACCACAAAGGUCAAGUCUCAACGAUUCAGAGUAUGUUUUAACCGUCUCUUCUCUCUUUGUCUUUCCCUUUAAAUAACCUUCCCAUUACACGGUUUCAUCAUCACCAUCACUCAUAAUCCCUCUCUUUCUCAAGAUCAAGAUUCAAGAUUCAAGAUCAAGAUCACCACUCAAUCCUCCAAGAUGACAAUGAGCACAGUCCACCAACAAGUUCUUGCACUUCCAGCAGCCAAGACUGCUCCAUCAGGUUACUUGUCUGACCUAGCUUCCAUCAACAACCUCCAAAUCCCAACCUCUUCCAAGAAAUCUGAACAAAUCAAGAAAAAAUAUAUUCUGAAAAAGAAGAAAACCGAUAGCUUCACAAACGGAGAUAGAGAUCAAAACAAGUUAGGUCCCAAGCUGACUGAAACAGUCAAGAGAAAGCUAUCAUUGGGAGCUAAGAUCAUUCAAAUGGGAGGCUUAGAGAAGAUUUAUAAACGUCUUUUCAGAGUCCACGAAGAAGAGAAACUCUUCAAGGCGUACCAAUGUUACCUAUCCACAACCGCAGGUCCCAUAGCAGGCUUACUCUUCAUCUCAUCAAAGAAGAUUGCUUUCUGCAGCGAGAGAUCUAUCAAAGUGGCUUCUCCUCAGGGAGAUCUAACCAGGGUUCACUACAAAGUGUCAAUACCAUUGUGCAAGAUCAAUGGAGUGAACCAGAGUGUGGACACGAAGAAGCCAUCUCAGAAGUACCUAGAAGUAGUCACUGCGGAUGGCUUUGAGUUCUGGUUCAUGGGUUUCUUGAGCUACAAGAAAGCUUUCAUCUGUCUCGAGCAAGCGCUUUCUCUGAGCAUGGAGCUAUAACAAGGCUAUGGCUGAAGAGGAAACAUUUCAUUUUUAAUGAGGAGAUAGCCUAGAAAAGUUAGACAAUAUUGUACAAACUAAAUUUUUUUAUAGCUUUAACCCUUUGGUUAUCCAUUGUUGACAAGAGCAAGAGACUGAAUAUAUUUAGCUUCUCUCAUAUAUUUUCCUUAUGUCAUAGUUUUCUUUUGCACCAUAACGUGACCAAAGAAAAUAUAAUGACAUGAGUAUGACCAUAUCAUAAUCUUGACCUCCAAGCAUUUAGAAACUUUUGAGAUUUACAGGAUCAUCAAUCUUCCUCCUAAGACAAAUAAAGCCAACAAUGAUCGAGGCUUAAGAAACCAGGAGGAUUCUUCCAUUUUAACAAAAAUCAAAUCAAUCAUAACAAAAGCUUUAGGAUAACACACACUUUGCUCCAUUGUAUUACAUGGAGAAUCAGAGUCUUCAAGUACCUAGUGCCUGAACAAAAUUAAUAUAUGUGGAAAUGACAAUGCACAGGAGAGAGUGCAUCAGCAUAGCAAAGCCACCCAAUCUACAUGCAAAGAAAAGCAGGGAACCCUCCGAUGACCAAAUAUUUCUUUUAGGUUAAGGCAAAUCGUCACUCACAUUUACCUUUUAAAAACUUUUUAUACAUUUUGUUAAUGUUAAAUUCGAUCAUACACACGUCAGAAAAUAGCAACGAUUACAGGAUAAACUAUUUAAUUACAUAUUUGAAUGUGACCCGUCUUUUUUUUUGCGCUCCCCUUUAUUUAUUUGUAACUUUUCUUUGACCAAUCGACCAUUUCCCUAAUCCCCACCGAAGUAUAUUUUUUACUCAUAAGUACGCGUCGACAUACAUAUUGAAUUGCUCGUAUAUUAUAAGUCAAAAUAUCUUAUCCGACUAAGGACAUGGACCCCGAAGAUAAAGCUUCAAAUUGAAUGGGUUAAUUGUGACUUGUGACGGUACAAAUAAUAUGAUUAUAUAUAUAUAUAUAUAUAUAUAUAUAUAGUAAAAAAAUUCUAUGAUCUCUAUGAUGCAGAAAAUUUCCGACUGAUAAAUUAUACAAAAUGCGUAGUUUUCAACUAUUUGUUAGACCAUUGGAGUGGGAUGUUACCAUAAGUAUUAUUAUUGUAACCAAUCAUAACUACAUUUCAUAUCCUUUACCCAAAUAACCAUACUUACAUAUACAACAUUUUAAAUUGGUAGAAACUACCUACUUCAAGUAUGUCGUUGUGACAUAUAUCCUUUCUUUGAAUUUAGUCGUAAUAACAGCUACUAAAUCAUUCAUGUCACUAACGAAUCAUCCACGUUUGAUUCUUUUCGAUAUACAUGUACCGAUAUGAUCAAAAAUAGCUUAAUACAAUGUCCACUAUAUUUUAUCAUGCAUAAUAAAUCAAAUAUAUAUAUUCAUUAGCUUAUAUGUGUAUACACAACCAUGUGAAUAUCACAUGGCUGACGAAUUGAUGAAUAACAUGUAUACUAUUUGGCAUUGGCGGGAUCCAAUUCAAAUGGAUCUCCUUUGUGUGUGUGUUUAUAUAACUAAUUUCUUGCUCUUUAUAUAUUAAAUAAAUGUUUUGAUAAAAAAAAAUAUUAAAUAAAUGAAUUAUAACCGAUAUUUCUUAUCGUACAGACAAUGACAUCAGAAAGUCGCGAUGCCAGCGCAGAAAGCUCCAAAGCCACAACGUCCUCUUCUGCAUGGCUCAAUUUUCACUCACAUAUUCAGAAAGUGUUACUUAAUAUUUGAUUUUACUGUUCCAAUUAAUUAGGAUACAUAUCUUAUAUCCUCUGUACAUAUAUAUAUAUGCGAAAAAUAAAAUCAUGCUAGAAAAUGAGAAAAGAAAAGUAAUUGGAACAUUAAAAACCAAAUAUUACGUAACACUCAUAUAUAUAUGCGAAAAUAAAAUCAAUCUAGAAAAAUAAGAAAAGAAAAGUAAAGAAGUUUGCUAUUUUGCCAACUUGUAGUUAAAAAAGCUUAUCGGAUAAUUAACGUCAUUGCAUGGAUCAUCUUUCCUUCUUUGACAUGUUUUUCUUUUUCACCUUUUCGACAUUAAUAUACAUGGAUCAUCAAUUUGCAUGGCAUCUUCUAAGUUUCAAUAUACUACUAACUAGAAAUCAAAGGUUGCGUGAUAUUUGAAGAGGAUCCUUGAAAUUGCAUUUCUAAAUUGUUCUGUUAUUUGGAAAAACAAAAACGAAAACUUAAAACAUUUCAUCAGUUCUUGAGAUUUUUUUACCAAUUGUGUCCUUGCAGUGCCGUCCCGUAUAUUUGUGUGGCUUAAAGCAUUUGAAAAAAAUGUGGCCUUUACAAAAAAAAUGUUUGGUUCAAAGAUUAAUGUUAAGUUAAUUAGAAUUUUGUUUCCAAAGUAAAAACAAAAAGAAGGUUUUUUCAUAAAAACGAAAAACAGUAAAAUGAAUAUCAAGAUAGGGAAUCAAACUGAGGUUGAGAGAAAUAAAUAUUUUCACCUAACCAUUUUAACUACAUCAAUUUGUAUGGAUGUGACCAGAUUAGUUUUUAAAAUAUGUGGCCUAAAGCCAAUGCUUUACGUGCCUUAGUGAAGGGACGGCCCUGUGUCCUUGCAUGGAUUGAGUAGCUGCAAAAACCUUUAUUUUUUUGUUUCUCCUUUAACUAUAUUUUUUUUUCUCGAAAAAUUAAAGAAAAAAUAGAGGAUAUGCAUGAUCUUCUCAUUGCCUUUACCCCCAAGAAAGUGGCUUUAUGUGUGUCUUGAUGACCCAUCCAUGACUCAUCCAUUACCACAAAGAUCCUCAAGUCUCAACUGCCUCUUGUCUCUUUGUCUUUCCUUUUAAAUAACCUUCCCACCACACAGUUUCAUCAUCACCUAUCACUCAUAAUCUCUCUCUCUCUCUCUCAAGAUCAAGAUCAAGAUCAAGAUCACCACUCAAUCCUCCAGAUGACAAUGAGCACACUCAACCAACAAGUUCUCGCACUUCCAGAAGCCAAGACUGCUCCAUCAGGUUACUUUUCUGACCUAGCUUCCAUCAACAACCUCCAAAUCCCAACAUCUUCCAAGAACUCUGAACAAAUCAAGAAAAAAACUAUUCUGAGAAAGAAGAAAACCGAGAGCUUCACAAACGAUAAUAGAGAUCAAAACAAGUUAGGGCCCAAUCUGACAGAAACAGUCAAGAGAAAGCUAUCAUUGGGAGCUAAGAUCAUUCAAAUGGGAAGCUUAGAGAAGAUUUAUAAACGGCUCUUUAGAGUCCACGAUGAAGAGAAACUCUUCAAGGCUUACCAGUGUUACCUAUCCACAACCGCAGGUCCCAUAGCAGGCUUACUCUUCAUCUCAUCAAAGAAGAUUGCUUUCUGCAGCGAGAGAUCUAUCAAAGUGGCUUCUCCUCAGGGAGAUAACGUCAGGGUUCACUACAAAGUGUCAAUACCACUGUGCAAGAUCAAUGGAUUGAACCAGAGUGUGAACACGAAGAAGCCCUCUCAGAAAUACCUAGAAGUAGUCACUGCGGAUGGCUUUGAGUUCUGGUUUAUGGGUUUCUUGAGCAACAAGAAAGCUUACAACUGUCUCGAGCAAGCGCUUUGUCUGAGCAUGGAGCAAUAACAAGCCCAAGGCUGAAGAGGAAAUAUUUAAUUUCUAAU